AUUGAACGCUGGCGGCAGGCCUAACACAUGCAAGUCGAGCGGAUGAAGGGAGCUUGCUCCUGGAUUCAGCGGCGGACGGGUGAGUAAUGCCUAGGAAUCUGCCUGGUAGUGGGGGAUAACGUCCGGAAACGGGCGCUAAUACCGCAUACGUCCUGAGGGAGAAAGUGGGGGAUCUUCGGACCUCACGCUAUCAGAUGAGCCUAGGUCGGAUUAGCUAGUUGGUGGGGUAAAGGCCUACCAAGGCGACGAUCCGUAACUGGUCUGUGAGGAGGAUCAGUCACACUGGAAGUGAGACACGGUCCAGACUCCUACGGGAGGCAGCAGUGGGGAAUAUUGGACAAUGGGCGAAAGCCUGAUCCAGCCAGGCCGCGUGUGUGAAGAAGGUCUUCGGAUUGUAAAGCACUUUAAGUUGGUAGGAAGGGCAGUAAGUUAAUACCUUGCUGUUUUGACGUUACCAACAGAAUAAGCACCGGCUAACUUCGUG
rnacentral:rRNA from 1 species